CAGUCGCCGCGGUAAUACAGAGGGUGCGAGCGUUAAUCGGAUUUACUGGGCGUAAAGCGUGCGUAGGCGGCUUUUUAAGUCGGAUGUGAAAUCCCUGAGCUUAACUUAGGAAUUGCAUUCGAUACUGGGAAGCUAGAGUAUGGGAGAGGAUGGUAGAAUUCCAGGUGUAUCGGUGAAAUGCGUAGAGAUCUGGAGGAAUACCGAUGGCGAAGGCAGCCAUCUGGCCUAAUACUGACGCUGAGGUACGAAAGCAUGGGGAGCAAACAGGAUUAGAUACCCCAGUAGUCCCUGUCUCUUAUAC
rnacentral:rRNA from 1 species